ensembl:lncRNA
AUGAGGGAGAGAGGGCUGAUUGCAACACUCGUUUUCCCAUUGGCUGCACUAAAAACCUUUAAUUUAGCCAUGAAACUUCUGCUGAAUUCUUGUGUGCUGCACUGAGUUAGAAGUCUUACCUCAAAACUGACUCCAACUUUGCAAAGAAGUCUGCAGGAAUUUCUACCUAGCCGACCGCCGUCAUUUAUUUGAGCAGCUCAGUACAUAAUUAAGAAGCCCUGGAGCCUGGGACAGCCUUUUAUCUUGAAAAGUGGCUCUUCCAGACCCUACCAAUCCCUGCACCCAGCACUGGGUUUGGCCAGUGAGUAAUGGAAAAGCAAGGGAACGCCGAGGAAUCAAAGACAGUGUGCUGAAGAGAUGAGAAAGGACAAUACGAGUCAUGGUGAACGUUGACAUUCCUUGUUCUCACUGACCUCAACUCAGACAGGAGCUGCCGGCAGUAACAGACAUAUGGAGUAAUAAUUAAUGGCAGUUUGUAUAAUCUCCACUGAAGGAAGCACAGGAGGAAAUAAGUGUGGGGGCAUGGCAAGAGUAGGGCAAAGCGAGCCAGCCCCAGGCAAUGGAACAGAAGAAUCUACAGCCCAUGAAGAUAAACACCACACAUGCUCUGUCCUGCUCCUAAGUGUUCUUCAUAAGCAUGUCUGUAAUCACAAUGAUGACUACCACUACUUCUCAAACUGCAGCCCAUUGUCAAUUAUUUUUCAUGAGCAACAACAUUAUCAUGACUAUUACAGGAUGAACAUGUAUGAUUGAUUCUUCACUUUCUUAAUUAAAUACUUAAUGAUACUAAUGAAUUAAAGUGGGCCACUCAUUCACAAGCACUUAUGGAAUCACAGAAUCAUAGAAUCGCUUGAGUUGGAAGGGACCCUGACAGGCCAUCUGGUCAAACUCCCCUGCAAUGCACAGAGACACCCACAUCUCCAUCAGUUGCCCAGCCUGACACUGAGUGCCUCCAGUUAUGGAACAUUCACCACCUCUCUGGGCAAUCUGUGUCAGUGCUUCACCACCCUUGCUGGCUCACAUCCAGCUUGCCAUCCACCAGUACCCCUAUCCACCAGGGAUCUGCAGCGUCCCUGUCCGUGUGAUGCAGGAGAUACAGAUCUCCAGCAUCCUGGAGCUGGUGCUGGGAGGUCAGGAGAGACACACAAAGGCAUCAGAGCAGUAAGACCUGUGUGUGUUUGUGUGCAUGGGCAGCUGCGUCCCAUGCAUGAUGCCCAAAUCUGGAGCUGAAACUUGACUUCUUGAAGAUGCCAAAGAGAAUAGAAGAGAAUGAGAAUGAGUCCAGCCAUAUUAUCAUCAUCCUCUUCUGCCUUCUCUUUGCACAUUGCACAGGAAUGUGGGUGACAUGGCUUAAUGGGCAUGGUGGUGAUGGGUCGGUGGCUGGACUUGAUGAUUUUAGUGGUCUUUUUGAACCUUAGUGAUUCUAUGAUUCUACAAAUUUGGUUCAUUUAGGCUAAAUAGCAAUCAUCCAGCACCUGCUGAAAAGUGAUUCCGCAACUCACCUUUGCGCCUCUUCAACGCCAGAUUUCCAUGCUGCCAGCACCGAUAUGGGGAUCAUGACAUACAUACCUGAGUGCUUGGGCUGCCCCCUGAGCUGUACUUGCAUUGAUUUCUGUGUAGUGUUGUACAAAAUGCCAUGCUGAGCCAUGGUGGCUGAAAGCAGCGGGCUUUUUUUUAGUGAUAUGAAAGGGAGUGACCUGCUUACCCUCAGUGCUGAUGGGUUUAACUCUGCAGCCUGUAUGAUAAGGUAGCUGUUGACAACUGACCUCAGCACGGGGCUCAGGCUCACACAUCUGUACAUGCAAUAAAAGCCCUCAACAGCUUUGCAUCUGCAGCUUGCACUGCCUCUGUCCGAUGAUGAUGCUUUUUUUUUUUUUAUCAUGCAGUGAAUGCAAAAGAUUAACACUUGGAAAUAAUGCUCAUGGGAGAGAAUUUCCUGAAGGGCUACUAGCUGCAGAAACAGCACUUCUGGCAGUUUGUGAGAACGGGGCUGGCACUCAAGGCAAUGCCACUGUUUGCCCUCUUAUACUCUUCUCCAAACGCUUGAUCCCUCGGUGUCAAUCCCUCAGCUCCAGUUCCUUUGCUGUAAGAAGGACCCAGGAUUGGCCAUGUCUGUGGAUCUUCUUUACUUCCCACCGUCUUGAAUCGGUGUCAUUUUGUGCAGUGUCUCAGCUUGCACCAACCCACCCAAUUCCUUUGAAGUCAAUGUGACUUCAGGGUGCAAGGAGCCACCCCAGGGCAUGGCUGAUCUCCUUUUUCAUGUACCAUGCAGUGCACAGACCGCAGUGUGCUGCAGACUGGGAAGUGUACCGAGACAAAAAAGCGCCAUUGUAUACGAGUUGGUGUCAAUUAACUCUAGGAACGUUUUGAAUAAAUUAAAUUAUGCUGCAAUCUGAAGCUAAACUGAUCCUUAAUUAAAAGAUAAGAUAUAUUUUUAAUCCUCGGGUGAUUUAAAGAAAAGAAUAAUGAAGUAUGGGAAUCAGAGUCACCUUCCUCAACGGUUGAGCAGUUUCCCUGAGCAAUGCAGUGUGACUUCAAAGCUGUCCCCUGCUAUAGCCCUGCCCUGAGCAGAGGAUUGGACAAGGUGACCUCCAGGGACAUCUUCCAACCCAAAUCGUUGCACGAUUCUCAGCUAUUCUGCUCUCAGCUUUUGGAUGCUGAAGGAUCAAGAUUUGGUUUGGAGACUAUUUGGAGAGCAAGUGUAACAAUGAAG